rnacentral:lncRNA from 1 species
UACAAUUUACUUCUGCAGCCACCGCCCACACCAAACCUAAAUUUUUCAUCUUCUCUGCCUCUUACCCACAUCUCCGCAUAUAUCUCUUCUCUAGCUCUAUCUCUUCUGCAGUCGCCGCCCACACCAAACCUAACAUCUUCUCUGCAUCUAUCUCUUCUUUAGCUGAUCAACAAGUAAACAACCCACAUCUCCGCAUCCAUCAAGUAAAGAUAUUGAUGUGCACCGUGUCAAUAUAAUUUCAAGCUAAUUCAAUUAUAUAUGUUACAUUUCAGUGGUAGGGAAGCAUGGCCGCAAACAAACUCCAACGACAUGGAUGGGCACCGACAAGGAACGUUCCAGUCACAACAAAGAUCUGGACAACUAAUGGAGGUAUCAUCCCAAAGUCUAGAAUUCCUUAAAGAUUUUUCAAAAUUUCCAGAAAUCUAACAUAUGGGGAUAAGAGUUUAAUUACAUGGAUUUGCUUGACUGGUUACUUACAAGAGGUGGCAUGCACUUCUCUUAAUUAAU